rnacentral:rRNA from 1 species
UCACCUUUAGGUUCGGAAUAACGUCGAGAAAUCGGCGCUAAUAACGUAUAAUGCAGCGGCAUCGCAUGAUGAUGUUGUUAAAGUUUUAUUAACGCCUAGAGAUGAGCUUGUAUCUGAUUAGCUAGUUGGUGAGGUAAUGGCCCACCAAGGCUACGAUCAGUAGCUGGUCUGAGAGGAUGAUCAGCCACAUUGGAACUGAGACACGGUCCAG